GGCCGUGUGCCCGAGCGGUUCAGGGACCGGACUGCAAAUCCGGUUACGCAGGUUCGAAUCCUGUCACGGCCUC
rnacentral:tRNA from 2 species